rnacentral:rRNA from 1 species
AUACGUAGGGUGCAAGCGUUAUCCGGAAUCAUUGGGUUUAAAGGGUUCGUAGGCGGGUCAAUAAGUCAGAGGUGAAAUCUUGCAGCUUAACUGUAAAAUUGCCUUUGAUACUGUUGACCUUGAAUUACUGUGAAGUGGUUAGAAUAUGUAGUGUAGCGGUGAAAUGCUUAGAGAUUACAUAGAAUACCGAUUGCGAAGGCAGAUCACUAACAGUAUAUUGACGCUGAUGAACGAAAGCGUGGGUAGCGAACGGGAUUAGAAACCCUGGUAGUCC